rnacentral:rRNA from 1 species
GUCCUAGCCUUAAACGAUGAUGACUUGGUGUGUCGGGUUUUCAGUCCCGAUGUGCCGGAGCUAACGCGUUAAGUCAUCCGCCUGGGGAGUACGGUCGCAAGACUGAAACUCAAAGGAAUUGACGGGGACCCCGCACAAGCGGUGGAGCAUGUGGUUUAAUUCGACGCAACGCGAAGAACCUUACCUGGGCUAGAAUGUGAGGGAAGACUUGCAAAACAGGUCGUCGAGGGGAAACCUGAGACCCAAAACAAGGUGCUGCACGGCUGUCGU